rnacentral:tmRNA from 1 species
GGGGGUGAUCGGUUUCGACUUCGGCAGUUGAAGUGAGAGAAGCGAGCCGUGGUCUCCGGAGCCACGUUAAAGAGCCGGAACCAAACACAAACGCCAACGUUUCUAACGACGAACUGGCGCUCGCUGCCUGAUUCAGCUUCGGCUGAUUUAGAUAGCGGGUUGGCCGCCGGAUCCUUGCUCUGCGGAGCUGGCGUGCCCUCAUGAAGCAGGGCUUACCCGCUGUGGAUGCUGACGACGCAGCGGGAACACCAAAGUCGGCUACGGAGACAGGAGGUUGUCGAUGACCACCUGCCUCCCGACAAUCCGAUAUCGACUGCGCUCGGAGAAGACUCAUUGAUGCGUCGAAGGACGCGGGUUCGAUUCCCGCCACCUCCACCA